rnacentral:sRNA from 1 species
GAUACAAGGGGAAAAAGUCAUAGCUCGUUCCUGCUUGCAGGAUAAGAGCUAUGUCUUAUUGACCCGAACACACAUGAGGAAGUAGUGAUUUUCCCUGGAAAAUCAACGGAUUCCGAAUGUGUGUAGAAUUGCGGGAGUUGCAUGGCAACGGAGCAAUUCGU